rnacentral:rRNA from 1 species
AGAGUUUGAUCCUGGCUCAGGACGAACGCUGGCGGCGUGCUUAACACAUGCAAGUCGAACGAUGAAGCUGGAGCUUGCUCUGGUGGAUUAGUGGCGAACGGGUGAGUAACACGUGAGUAACCUGCCCUUGACUCUGGGAUAAGCGUUGGAAACGACGUCUAAUACCGGAUACGAGCUUCAGCCGCAUGGCUAGGAGUUGGAAAGAAUUUCGGUCAAGGAUGGACUCGCGGCCUAUCAGCUAGUUGGUGAGGUAAUGGCUCACCAAGGCGACGACGGGUAGCCGGCCUGAGAGGGUGACCGGCCACACUGGGACUGAGACACGGCCCAGACUCCUACGGGAGGCAGCAGUGGGGAAUAUUGCACAAUGGGCGCAAGCCUGAUGCAGCAACGCCGCGUGAGGGACGACGGCCUUCGGGUUGUAAACCUCUUUUAGCAGGGAAGAAGCGAAAGUGACGGUACCUGCAGAAAAAGCACCGGCUAACUACGUGCCAGCAGCCGCGGUAAUACGUAGGGUGCAAGCGUUGUCCGGAAUUAUUGGGCGUAAAGAGCUCGUAGGCGGUUUGUCGCGUCUGCUGUGAAAACGCGAGGCUCAACCUCGCGCCUGCAGUGGGUACGGGCAGACUAGAGUGCGGUAGGGGAGAUUGGAAUUCCUGGUGUAGCGGUGGAAUGCGCAGAUAUCAGGAGGAACACCGAUGGCGAAGGCAGAUCUCUGGGCCGUAACUGACGCUGAGGAGCGAAAGCGUGGGGAGCGAACAGGAUUAGAUACCCUGGUAGUCC